UACGUAGGGGGCAAGCGUUGUCCGGAUUUAUUGGGCGUAAAGAGCGUGUAGGCGGCCAGGUAGGUCCGUUGUGAAAACUCGAGGCUCAACCUCGAGACGUCGGCGGAAACCCUCUGGCUAGAGUCCGGAAGAGGAGAGUGGAAUUCCUGGUGUAGCGGUGAAAUGCGUAGAUAUCUGGAGGAACACCGGUGGCGAAGGCGGCAUCCUGGACCAACACUGACGCUGAGACGCGAAAGCGUGGGGAGCAAACAGG
rnacentral:rRNA from 1 species